UAGGGAAUAUUGGUAAUGUGCGAAAGCGCGAACCAGCAACGCCGCGUGCACGAUGAAGGCCUUCGGGUCGUAAAGUGCUUUUAGAGAGGAUGAGGAAGGACAGUACUUUCUGAAUAAGCCUCGGCUAACUACGUGCCAGCAGCCGCGGUAAAACGUAGGAGGCUAGCGUUAUCCGGAUUUACUGGGCGUAAAGCGCAUGCAGGUGGUUUUGUAAGUUGGAUGUGAAAGCUCCUGGCUUAACUGGGAGAGGUCGUUCAAAACUACAAGACUUGAGAUUGGUAGAGGAUAAUGGAAUUCCGGGUGUAGUGGUGAAAUGCGUAGAUAUCCGGAGGAACACCAGUGGCGAAAGCGGUUUUCUGGACUGUAACUGACGCUCAGACGCGAAAGCUAGGGUAGCAAACG
rnacentral:rRNA from 1 species